rnacentral:misc_RNA from 1 species
CAGAGUUCAUGCCCUUCGGGGUAGACCUCCCACCCAGUGUAUUUAUACCUUUGUUGCUCUGGCAGGCACUCCCUAGCCGGAGGACCCUAAAACCUGAAUGUUAGUGUCGUCUGAGUACUAUACAAUAGUUA